rnacentral:rRNA from 1 species
UACGUAGGGCGCAAGCGUUGUCCGGAAUUAUUGGGCGUAAAGAGCUCGUAGGCGGCCAGUUGCGUCUGCUGUGAAAUCCCGGGGCUCAACCCCGGGCUUGCAGUGGAUACGGGCUGGCUGGAGGCAGGCAGGGGAGAACGGAAUUCCCGGUGUAGCGGUGAAAUGCGCAGAUAUCGGGAGGAACACCGGUGGCGAAGGCGGUUCCCUGGGCCUGUACUGACGCUGAGGAGCGAAAGCGUGGGGAGCGAACAGG